CUCAUUAGAGUUAGGGUCUGAUUUUAAUUAUGAUUUUAAUAUUUUAUUUAGACCCGUCGACUGUUCGUACUUCAGAGGCGAACCAGAGUUAGAUUGCUUGUCAGGAUCACGUGGAUUUAGCAAGCAGUUUGUGAUUUGAGCAUUUGUCGAUCUCCGUUUCUUCAUUCCCGGAGGUUCUUUAUUUAUUUUCAGAUUAAAAGAGUCGAACUGUUUUAAACUCUUAGACCGCAGUAGUAGUAUUGGAUUAUUUAUGUUUUAGUCUUAUACUUAAUGUUUUAGACUAUUAUUUGUUGAUAUAGUUCAACCAUGAUUUAUCGCUUUA